CCCUUAGAUGUUCGGAGCUGCACGCGCGCUACACUGAAGGAAGCAGCGUGUUAGGACACCUGGCUCGAAAGAGCUGGGCAAUCCGGUGAAUGUCCUUCGUGAUUGGGAUAGGGACUUGUAAUUAUUCCCCUUGAACGAGGAAUACCUAGUAAGUGCGAGUCAUCAGCUUGCGCUGACUACGUCCCUGCCCCUUGUACACACCGCCCGUCGCUCCUACCGAUUGAGUGUGUUGGUGAGGAGUUUGGAUUGGCCUCGGAAGGUGGUUCGCCACCGUCCGUAGCUGAGAAGUUCUCCAAACCGCCCCACUUAGAGGAAGGAGAAGUCGUAACA
rnacentral:rRNA from 1 species